CCACGCUGUAAACGAUGAAUACUAGGUGUCGGCUAGAGAUAGUCGGUGCCGGCGCAAACGCAAUAAGUAUUCCGCCUGGGGAGUACGCACGCAAGUGUAAAACUCAAAGGAAUUGACGGGGACCCGCACAAGCAGCGGAGCAUGUAGUUUAAUUCGAAGCAACGCGAAAAACCUUACCAGGUCUUGACAUCCGGAUGACCUUAGCUUAAUCGCUAACUCUCCUUUGGAGCAUCCGAGACAGGUGGUGCAUGGUUGU
rnacentral:rRNA from 1 species